GGGGCUCAGUAGGUAGUGCAUUAAACUUUUAAUCUUAGGAUUGUGGGUUCAAGCCCCAUGUUGGGCA